UACGUAGGGUGCGAGCGUUGUCCGGAAUCAUUGGGCGUAAAGCGCGUGUAGGCGGCCAGAUAAGUCCGCUGUGAAAUCUCGAGGCUCAACUUCGAGCUGUCGGUGGAAACUGUCUGGCUAGAGUCCGGAAGAGGAGAAUGGAAUUCCUGGUGUAGCGGUGAAAUGCGCAGAUAUCAGGAAGAACACCCGUGGCGAAGGCGGUUCUCUGGGACGGUACUGACGCUGAGACGCGAAAGCGUGGGGAGCGAACAGG
rnacentral:rRNA from 1 species